rnacentral:rRNA from 1 species
GACGAACGCUGGCGGCGUGCUUAACACAUGCGAGUCGAACGAAGAGCGGCGGAAGCUUGCUUCUAUCAAUCUUAGUGGCGAACGGGUGAGUAACGCGUAAUCAACCUGCCCUUCAGAGGGGGACAACAGUUGGAAACGACUGCUAAUACCGCAUACGAUCUAAUCUCGGCAUCGAGGAUGGAUGAAAGGUGGCCUCUACAUGUAAGCUAUCACUGAAGGAGGGGAUUGCGUCUGAUUAGCUAGUUGGAGGGGUAACGGCCCACCAAGGCGAUGAUCAGUAGCCGGUCUGAGAGGAUGAACGGCCACAUUGGGACUGAGACACGGCCCAGACUCCUACGGGAGGCAGCAGUGGGGAAUCUUCCGCAAUGGACGAAAGUCUGACGGAGCAACGCCGCGUGAGUGAUGACGGCCUUCGGGUUGUAAAGCUCUGUUAAUCGGGACGAAAGGCCUUCUUGCGAAUAGUGAGAAGGAUUGACGGUACCGGAAUAGAAAGCCACGGCUAACUACGUG